rnacentral:lncRNA from 15 species
UCAAACAAACUUUAACCAGGCUCUCAUAUUUUGAACACUUUAUGUACUUUUAGGGAGACGAUGGACUUCCUGGUAUCGCCGGGGCCCAUGGCAUUAAUGGAAAUCCAGGUCAAGAUGGUCUGCCAGGACCUAAGGGUAUAUCUCAGGUAUCACAUGAUGCAAUACCAGGGCCACCUGGACCACGUGGGAGGGACGGAGAGCCGGGAGAUUUAGGUUUCCCUGGAGAGCCUGGACCAGAAGGGAACCCUGGACCACCGGGCUCUGACGGAAGUCGUGGUCGCUCAGGGGGUCCGGGAGCAAAGGUAAUGCUAAUGAAUAUUUCUUUGGAUAUGUGUGUAUGUGUCUGACAGCUUGUGCCUGUGAUAA